UUAACUGACAACAGCUCCUGACUGGCCAGAGUUCCAAGGGAGGCAGUUGGAGUGAGAGUUGGUGUUAGAGACCCAUGGGGGUCUGAGAGGGAGAAAUCGGAGGAUGGAGUGAUGGUCAUGAAGGAUAAGAAGGAAACAUUAGUAAAGAUGGAAUCACUAUAUGUUCAACCAAGCGACCAGGGGAUGGAGGCCACCACUGCUGAUAUUGAUGGUGUCUGUGGAUCUUUCUGACACUUCCGCUUGCUGAGUCACUUUGCUGAGCAACUAUUUAUCUAUAGUUCAAAGAAAAGACAUUGUUGGUGUAAAUUGUGUUUUCCGAAAAAUGAAAAUUUCUUCAUCUUUCUUAUGUUCCAGUCUGCGCAGGUUGAGAGAGCUGCUGGCCUCCUGUUGCCGCUCCAUAAAAAUCCAUCCCCUGGACUGUAUGAGGGAAGACAGCGUCAUCGUGGAUGGGAGGAGAAUUAAACCGAGAACAAUCUAUGUUAGGCCAAAAGACCAGGGGAUGGAUGCCACCAGUGAUUCCACCAGUGGCAAGUGUUGAUCUGUUAGAGACCCAUGGGGUCUGUGAGGGAGAAAUCGGAGGAUAGAAUGAUGGUCAUGAAGGAUAAGAAGGAAACAUUAGUGAAGAUGAAAUCACUAUAUGUUCAACCAAGCGACCAGGGGAUGGAGGCCACCACUGCUGAUAUGGAUGGUGUCUGUGGAUCUUUCUGACACGUCCCCCUAUUUAUGGAUAGUUCAAAGAAAAGAGAUCGUUGGUGUAAAUUGUGUUUUCUGAAAAAUGAAAAUUUCUUCAUCUUGCCUAUUCGAGAGCUGCUGGCCUCCUGCUGCCGUUCCCUCAAAAUCCAUCCCCUUGUCUGUUUGGAGGAAGAAACUGUGAUGGUUGAUGGAAGAAAGAUCAAAGUAAGAACGAUUUAUGUAAGACUGAGAGAUCAGGGGAUGGAUACCACCAGUUCUUCCACCAGCGGCAGUGACAGCAGUGAGACUAGCAGCUCCAGCACAGCUCUCUCUCUCCCCUUCAAGACCCAGUUCCCCCGUCCCCCAAAAUACAAAAAUAUAUAUAAAUAAAUAGUAUAUAUUUCCAAAACACCAUGAGUCUCCAGUGUGGUCUCUCGUCACAAGGGAACAGACUUUUUAAAGAGGCUACAAAGAGUCGCUCAUAGAAGUAGAACAACAAUUGAAGAUAUAAGACAGUUAGUUACAGACUGGUUGCAAUACCUUCAAGUAAAUGAUGCGUUUAAAAUAGAUAAGAAAGAUGGAUUUAGUACAGAAAUCUCAAGGUUUCAAAAGGAAUUAUUGGAAAACAAUGUGAAGUUACUUUCUAAAUUGUAUAAAUUGUUGCUAGAGUGCAAAACUAAGGAUGAAGAAGUCAAAACAUUAAUGAUAAAAUGGGCACAAGACAUUGGGCAUAAUAUUCAAUUUUCAUCUUGGGAAAAGUUAUGGAGGGAAGACUUAAAAAUUACAGUGUGCUGUGCAUUGAAGGAAAAUUAUAUGAAAAUGAUGCAUCGGUGGUAAUUUACACCUGUAAAACUAGCAAAAUUGUAUAGAACUGCUUCAAAUGUUUGCUGGAAAUGUAAGAAGAAAGGCACGUUCUACCACAUGUGGUGGACGUGCAAGAUAAUUAAAACAUUCUGGGAAAUGAUUUACAAUGAGUUGAAAAAAAUGUUUAAAAUAACAUUCGUGGGGGGAAACAGAGGCUUUUUGUGUUAGGCAUUUUAGGUAUAGAGAUUCUGAGGGAGCAGAAAUGACUAUUCAUGUACAU